GAUUCGUCACACUAUCAUUAACUGAAUCCAUAGGUUAAUGAGGCGAACCGGGGGAACUGAAACAUCUAAGUACCCCGAGGAAAAGAAAUCAACCGAGAUUCCCCCAGUAGCGGCGAGCGAACGGGGAGGAGCCCAGAGCCUGAAUCAGCAUGUGUGUUAGUGGAAGCGUCUGGAAAGGCGCGCGAUACAGGGUGACAGCCCCGUACACAAAAGCGCAUGUGCUGUGAGCUCGAUGAGUAGGGCGGGACACGUGGUAUCCUGUCUGAAUAUGGGGGGACCAUCCUCCAAGGCUAAAUACUCCUGACUGACCGAUAGUGAACCAGUACCGUGAGGGAAAGGCGAAAAGAACCCCGGCGAGGGGAGUGAAAAAGAACCUGAAACCGUGUACGUACAAGCAGUGGGAGCACCCUUUGGGGUGUGACUGCGUACCUUUUGUAUAAUGGGUCAGCGACUUAUAUUCUGUAGCAAGGUUAACCGAAUAGGGGAGCCGUAGGGAAACCGAGUCUUAACCGGGCGUUAAGUUGCAGGGUAUAGACCCGAAACCCGGUGAUCUAGCCAUGGGCAGGUUGAAGGUUGGGUAACACUAACUGGAGGACCGAACCGACUAAUGUUGAAAAAUUAGCGGAUGACCUGUGGCUGGGGGUGAAAGGCCAAUCAAACCGGGAGAUAGCUGGUUCUCCCCGAAAGCUAUUUAGGUAGCGCCUCGUGAAUUCAUCUCCGGGGGUAGAGCACUGUUUCGGCUAGGGGGCCAUCCCGGCUUACCAACCCGAUGCAAACUGCGAAUACCGGAGAAUGUUAUCACGGGAGACACACGGCGGGUGCUAACGUCCGUCGUGAAGAGGGAAACAACCCAGACCGCCAGCUAAGGUCCCAAAGUCAUGGUUAAGUGGGAAACGAUGUGGGAAGGCCCAGACAGCCAGGAUGUUGGCUUAGAAGCAGCCAUCAUUUAAAGAAAGCGUAAUAGCUCACUGGUCGAGUCGGCCUGCGCGGAAGAUGUAACGGGGCUAAACCAU
rnacentral:rRNA from 2 species